UGGGUUGUGGCUCAAUGGUAGAGCGCUCGCCUAGCACAUGCGAGGCCCUGGGUUCGAUCCUCAGCACCACAU
rnacentral:tRNA from 1 species